rnacentral:rRNA from 1 species
CAUGCAAGUCGAGCGAACAGACGAGGAGCUUGCUCCUCUGACGUUAGCGGCGGACGGGUGAGUAACACGUGGAUAACCUACCUAUAAGACUGGGAUAACUUCGGGAAACCGGAGCUAAUACCGGAUAAUAUAUUGAACCGCAUGGUUCAAUAGUGAAAGACGGUUUUGCUGUCACUUAUAGAUGGAUCCGCGCCGCAUUAGCUAGUUGGUAAGGUAACGGCUUACCAAGGCAACGAUGCGUAGCCGACCUGAGAGGGUGAUCGACCACACUGGAACUGAGACACGGUCCAGACUCCUACGGGAGGCAGCAGUAGGGAAUCUUCCGCAAUGGGCGAAAGCCUGACGGAGCAACGCCGCGUGAGUGAUGAAGGUCUUCGGAUCGUAAAACUCUGUUAUUAGGGAAGAACAAAUGUGUAAGUAACUAUGCACGUCUUGACGGUACCUAAUCAGAAAGCCACGGCUAACUACGUGCCAGCAGCCGCGGUAAUACGUAGGUGGCAAGCGUUAUCCAGAAUUAUUGGGCGUAAAGCGCGCGUAGGCGGUUUUUUAAGUCUGAUGUGAAAGCCCACGGCUCAACCGUGGAGGGUCAUUGGAAACUGGAAAACUUGAGUGCAGAAGAGGAAAGUGGAAUUCCAUGUGUAGCGGUGAAAUGCGCAGAGAUAUGGAGGAACACCAGUGGCGAAGGCGACUUUCUGGUCUGUAACUGACGCUGAUGUGCGAAAGCGUGGGGAUCAAACAGGAUUAGAUACCCUGGUAGUCCACGCCGUAAACGAUGAGUGCUAAGUGUUAGGGGGUUUCCGCCCCUUAGUGCUGCAGCUAACGCAUUAAGCACUCCGCCUGGGGAGUACGACCGUCAAGGUUG